rnacentral:rRNA from 1 species
CAAACGGGUGCGGAACACGUACGCAACCUUCCCAUAACUGGUGAAUAGCCCUCCGAAAGGAGGAUUAAUACACCGUAACAUAAUGAAUAGGCAUCUCUUUAUUAUUAUAGGCUUCGGCCGGUUUUGGAUGGGCGUGCGCCUGAUUAGGUAGUUGGCGGGGUAACGGCCACCAAGCCUGCGAUCAGUAACUGGUGUGAGAGCACGACCAGUCACACGGGCACUGAGACACGGGCCCG